rnacentral:lncRNA from 1 species
CUAGCUAACGCAUGCAAAGCAACAGAAAUCCACAGGAAACUAUGAAGGUUGCAUGAAAAUUCGUAGGUAACUAUGAAGGUUGCAUGAAAAUUCGCAGGUAACUGGAAAAGCUGAAGAACACGAUGAAGAUCAUGAAGAUCUUCAUCCAUUUUUCCAGAAAAAUUUCACAUAUUCCAGAAAUGAAAAAUAAGCAUAGCAUCACGUAGAUC